AGCGUAGGCGGGAAAUUAAGUUAAGUGUGAAAGCCUUGGGCUUAACCCAAGAAAUGCACUUAAUACUGGUUUUCUAGAGUGUAGGAGAGGUAAGUGGAAUUCCUAGUGUAGCGGUAAAAUGCGUAGAGAUUAGGAGGAACAUCAGAGGCGAAGGCGGCUUACUGGACUAUAGCUGACGCUGAGGCUCGAAAGCGUGGGGAGCAAACA
rnacentral:rRNA from 1 species